UCUUGUUCUUUGGAAUUAAUUUACUUCCAAACAACAAGUUUGGCAGUAAAACAACACAAUAAAGUUAAAGUUUUAACUUAAAGGUUUUGUCUGACCCACUACACUGGCAAAACAUAUUGUUUUAGCAGAAAUGUCAGUAGAAAUGCAGUGAAGUACUCCUCAUAGUAUUUAAUAUCCUCAUAGUAGCUGCAAAGUAAUUGACGCCUUCAUAUACAACAUGUGUUUUCCUUUCAUUUGAGUCUAUUUAACGGAAACAUGAACUAUGAUCAGUUAUGUGUAUGCAGCAUCUAUGUUUUUAUAUUUAGGUUCUGCUUUGGCUCAGAAUGAAAAAUAUCACAUAUCACACACGCAGAGCAUAUUUUCUGUACACAGUGUUAUUUCCCAGGUGCCAUGGUUACUAACAGAGUUAUGUUUACAUAACCACCUUUCUUUUUCUCACCAAGCUGACAACCUGUGAAAGAAGAAAAUGCUAUGAGCUUUUCAGUCUACUCUCCUGUCUAAGAUAUUCAACAGCGAGGUGCCACCUGUCAGGCUGUGAAAUCAUUAUUACUUCAUGUUUGAUACAAGGAGAGAAAAGACUGCUAAAGACGUGGACUUGUUGCAAGAAUGGUGUUUUUUUGUGCCUGUUAACGACUGUACAGGUGUCCAUGAGGGAGGUGCUGACAGCAAGGAGCCAGACAGUGCUACACCAGGGAUGCCCCAGGUGUAAGAGACAAGUGUUCAGUUAACUUUUCUUUGAUUACAAUUUGGAUUACAUUAGAAGUGGGUUCAACAAAUGCUGAAAUGAUGAAAACACUUGAGACAGUGACCUGCGAGGUGUAGUAGUGAGAUUAAGACACAAAAGAGAGAAUGCAAAUUUUAAAAAAUCUAAACUCCAGUGACACUCUGCUGUCUGAACCAGAAUAUAGCGAAUUUAGCAAACAUACUUUUCUAUCCAUCCAUCCCUCCUUUUGUCCCACUCCUCCUUUGCAGAUAGGCUCAAGCCCAUCCCAGCUGCCAUAGGGUGAGAGGUGGGGUACACCCUGGACAGGUUACCAGUCUGUCGCAGGUCUACAGAGAGACAGAACAUUCACACCUAUGCACAAUUCAAAAUGACCAGUUAAACUAACCCCACUGUAUUUUCGGUACUUUGCACCACUUCCCUCAGAGCACAGGCUCGCAGCAUCGUCCAGCCAAUCCAGUUCUGAUUUCUUCAAGAAGGCCAAAACCAAUGUCGCUUGGGUCUGGCUUGGACUUUCUCCUGGUAGGACAUCCCUGAAACACCUCACCCUAGGAGGUCCCAGAAGGCAUCCAAGUCAGAUGCCUGAACUACCUACCUUGGAUGUGGAGGAAUGACUCUGAGUUCCUUAUAAAUGACGCAGCUUCUCUCGCUAUCUCCAAGACAGGAGCCUUUUUGUGUACUUUACUUACACAACAGCCUGCAUGUUUGCAGUGUUCAGCACCAGCUCCGGAUGUAGCGUGAGAAUACUCUCAACCAACCAACCACAACCCACAUGCCACUGACAAUGACAUCGCUCUGCCCGAACCAGCCGAUGAAGCGCUUUUCAUUGAACAUGAGGAUUAGAAUCCAGUGGUCCCUCGCUUCCUCAGAGGCCCAUCCAACUCACACAACACACAUAACAUCACAUACGAUCAGUGGGAAAAGCCAUAGAUGGAUACAAUGUUGCUGUGUAUUUUAUUUGGCUUAACGCUUUUAAAGAGGGUAAAAGUGACUUCCAAGUCAGAAUGUUUGGAUAUAUUUCUGUUCCUUCUA